rnacentral:rRNA from 1 species
UCGGGAUAACUCCGGGAAACCGGUGCUAAUACCGAAUAGUUUACCGUUCCUCCUGGAACGGUACGGAAAGACGGUUUCGGCUGUCACUGCAGGAUGGGCCCGCGGCGCAUUAGCUAGUUGGUGGGGUAAUGGCCCACCAAGGCGACGAUGCGUAGCCGACCUGAGAGGGUGAUCGGCCACACUGGGACUGAGACACGGCCCAGACUCCUACGGGAGGCAGCAGUAGGGAAUCUUCCGCAAUGGACGCAAGUCUGACGGAGCAACGCCGCGUGAGUGACGAAGGUUUUCGGAUCGUAAAACUCUGUUGUGAGGGAAGAACAAGUACCAAUUAACUACUGGUACCGUGACGGUACCUCACCAGAAAGCCACGGCUAACUACGUGCCAGCAGCCGCGGUAAUACGUAGGUGGCAAGCGUUGUCCGGAAUUAUUGGGCGUAAAGCGCGCGCAGGCGGUCCUUUAAGUCUGAUGUGAAAGCCCACGGCUCAACCGUGGAGGGUCAUUGGAAACUGGAGGACUUGAGUGCAGAAGAGGAAAGUGGAAUUCCACGUGUAGCGGUGAAAUGCGUAGAGAUGUGGAGGAACACCAGUGGCGAAGGCGAC